CCUUUCUUCCCUGCUGCUUCAACUCUUUCUCCCCUGUCUCAUGGCAGCCCCUCAGCUCACCCUCAGCCAACCAUCUGUGCGACGGGAUCGCCGCAGGUCUGCCAGUCUCCAUCGGCAUUGUGGCUGGAGGAUCCUUUUUCUCUGCCUCUAGCCUCUGAGUCCUGGACUCCACCUCGACCCAUCGACCCAGCAGCUCCACCAUGGCUCCUAGCUUCCUCAUCUCAACCGAUGCCCAUCAGUCCACCAGCUCCGCCGGUCUCCCUAGUCCCUUUGGCUGCCGCCUUUGUUUAGUCAUCAACCAUCCGCCGCCUUGGGACUCCAUUCGUCUGGCUGCGCCUCAUCCCUACAGCUCUGUCAGACUCCUUCUUCCCUCCAGCUCCACCUUGGUCCUCUCUCGCUCUAGCUCCACCGUGGCCUUCUGGAUACCCGCCACCGCCUCAGUCGCCAGUGCCAUCUGCUCUGCCUUGGCCCUCUGGAUCCUCCCUGUCGCCCUGGCUCAUCGGCUCUCCGUCUCCGCCUUGGGCUCCAACACCACCUGCUCCGACACCAUCAGUCGUCCCCUGGAGUCAGCCCUUCUUCCACCAUGGCUCCUCCCUCCAUCGGCUUCACCAUGGGUCGCCUUCAUGGCUGCGGCCUGGGUCCUGCCUGGAUCCUCCUGCUCCAAGGUCCUCCUGUCUUCUCCCUGGCUCCUCCCUCUGUCUUCGCCACCCUGGCUCCUUCUGUCUCCAUUCAUCCUCUAUUUUGCUGUUAAACUCUUAAUAUGAAUGUCUGCAUGACACAUACAAUUCAACGCUGUCGGAGUGAACAAGUCUUCUUGAGAGAGUUGUGAGUGAGGGUGAUCCAGCUAUUUUACGUAUUUUGGACUUGCCUUUUCCACUUAAUCUGACACUUUAGAAAGCUAAUUAAGUAGGACAUUGCAGUUUAGGGUCAGCAAUAUCUUUAUAUUAUCUUAUUUGCAAAAGAUUUGAAAUAAUUUUGGUUUAUUUAACAAUUUAUAUAGAAAUAUCUGGCAACACUGCAUCGCCGGCACUUUAACUGACAGAAAUCAAAAAAGCCCAUGGAAAGGUUAUUGCUGACAGGAUACACAUUCAGUCAGAAACAUUAUCAAUGCUGUCAAAACAGUAGCAUUUAACACUAGUACACAGUAAAAUCAGUGGUGUUAAUUAAGCAGUUACUCUCCAUCUACUCUUAAGGAGUUAACAUAACAACAAAUAGUGAAAAAUGCCUCCCAGUGUUGGUGAAAAUGAUCAGAGUUGAAUUUCUGCAUUGUUAAUUUUACUCCGUUAAACUCCACCCCUCAAGCCACCCCCGAAGACCAGAGCAAAAGUUCUGCUACUAUUAAUGCAUAAGAACUUUGUGUAAUUUGAUUGAUUUAAACUCUGAAAUAUUGAAUAGGUUUUGAAUAGGCAAGUCAGAAUGUUGGAGAAACGUGCCUUUUCUUCUCAAUGUGGUAAUGAUGAAUUUUAAAUGAUGUCCGUAAUCUUACUUAAUUUGAUUUUCAGCUGUAUUAAACUUUGGAAUAUCUGCUUAAUUUGUUUAUUAAACGUUUAUGUAACAUCACAAUGAGGCAUAAGCUGACAUUUUUAUAGAAAUUAUAUGAUGUUAUGUAAACCGUUGGCAUGUUAUAUAAACUCUAUAUUUGCUACUGUUCAGCUCACGAAAGACUAAGUGUGUCCAACGGCAUUACUUUCUGUUUCCAUUAUUUU
ensembl:lncRNA